GCCAUCGUCGAUCCGCCGUGGCCAUCAUGGCAGGUGGUCGGGGGACGAGAGGUUACAUCGCGAAGCCGAGCACAUUUCCGGACGAUUUCUAAUGAGAAGAUCCAAAACUAAGUUAGCUGUGAGAUUGCAACAUACCGAGUUGUCCAAUUUUCUGUCCACAAUGCAGGCUUGGUAGGUGAGUUUGGUCCUACAAAUGUUUCUCCACAGAUGAGCCCGUUGCAGGUGAAACAAUGUAAUGAUGAACACUAACAAUUGGGUCUGGGGCAUCAUUUUGCUUGCACAUCAUCCAUGGAACACCUGUCUGGAGACCUACAGCCAUUUCAGCUGCCCAACGGACAUAACGUGGGCCACCUGAGCCAAAUGCAGGCUCAACCAUCUGGGUUCAUUGUCUGUUCGGAAGGUGAUGUUUGGAACAUCAUGUAGCCAAAAUGGAAACCCUCUGCAUGAACACAAGAUACCCAGCAUUUGUUCAGCUAUGAGGCAACGAUACUGGAAAUUAGGGAGUAAUCAAGAGGCGGUUAACAUAGAAGCGAUUAGGAGUGAGAGUAACUUCUGGAAAAAGUCAUUGGAUUCAAAUUUAUAAAAUUUAAUAAACAUCUACGGGCAGUUAUGGAAGGUAUAUGUGUGUAUAUUUUUAGUUGGGAAGGCACCUACCUGGCCCUGGACAGGCUCAUGGACAUUCCAGAAGACGUAAGUUUGUAUGACAUCG